rnacentral:rRNA from 1 species
UACGUAGGGACCGAGCGUUGUCCGGAUUCAUUGGGCGUAAAGAGCUCGUAGGCGGCUGUUCAAGUCGAACGUGAAAACUCGGAGCUCAACUCCGAGCCUGCGUUCGAUACUGGACGGCUAGAGUCUGGUAGGGGGAUCUGGAAUUCCUGGUGUAGCGGUGGAAUGCGUAGAUAUCUGGAGGAACACCGGUGGCGAAGGCGGGUCUCUGGGCCGUAACUGACGCUGAGGAGCGAAAGCGUGGGGAGCGAACAGG